UACGAAGGGGGCUAGCGUUGUUCGGAAUUACUGGGCGUAAAGCGCAUGUAGGCGGGUAUUUAAGUCAGGGGUGAAAUCCCGCAGCUCAACUGCGGAACUGCCUUUGAUACUGGGUAUCUUGAGUAUGGAAGAGGUGAGUGGAAUUCCGAGUGUAGAGGUGAAAUUCGUAGAUAUUCGGAGGAACACCAGUGACGAAGGCGGCUCACUGGUCCAUUACUGACGCUGAGGUGCGAAAGCGUGGGGAGCAAACAGG
rnacentral:rRNA from 1 species